UAACGACUCUAAGAUCGUGCUCCAGGGG
rnacentral:sRNA from 1 species